rnacentral:rRNA from 1 species
GGAGGUAGUGACAAUAAAUCACAAUGCGGGACUAUCAGUCUUGCAAUUGGAUUGAGAACAAUGUACAACUCUUAUCGAUAAGCCAUUGGAGGGCAAGUCUGGUGCCAGCAGCCGCGGUAAUUCCAGCUCCAAUAGCGUAUAUUAACGUUGUUGCAGUUAAAAAGCUCGUAGUUGAAGUGUGGGUGGUGCCUACUUCCAGACUUCGGUUUAGGAGUGGAUCACUACCCCCUUCCAGUAUCCAGUAGUGGGUAUUCAGUUACUUACUAUUGUGUGUUGGUCGUUUACUGUGAGAAAAUUAGAGUGUUCAAAGCAGGCGUUUGCUUGAAUAGAUUAGCAUGGAAUAAUAAUUGAAGGCUUUCGUGUUCGAUUUGAUUGGUUUGUUCAUGGAAGCAAGGUUAAAAGGAACAGUUGGGGGUAUUCAUAUUCACUAGUUAGAGGUGAAAUUCUCGGAUUUAUGGAAGAUGAACAAGUGCGAAAGCA